rnacentral:sRNA from 1 species
AGGAUCAAGGGAAUCGUGGCUGCCUGCCCCACUGAGCCCACUGCCCCAACCCCCUCUCCUUCUUGUGCCAGAUCCCUUGGGAUUGGAGCCGCUGUGAGCAGUGGCUAGGCAUUUGAGCACCUCUGUCUCUGCCUUGCUCCAUAGCAGCUGCUGUGCUGAACACCGCUCUUCCGGCACCGGUACAAGCUGCCGCACCAGUACAGGCCUCCUCGACGGCCCAACCCCGGCCACCAGCCCAGCCCCAGACGCUGUUCCAGACCCAGCCGCUGCUGCAGACCACACCUGCCAUCCUCCCGCAGCCCACUGCUGCCACCGCUGCUGCCCCUACCCCCAAGCCAGUGGACACCCCCCCACAGAUCACCGUCCAGCCUGCAGGCUUCGCAUUUAGCCCAGGAAUCAUCAGUGCUGCUUCCCUCGGGGGACAGACCCAGAUCCUGGGGUCCCUCACUACAGCUCCAGUCAUUACCAGCGCCAUUCCCAGCAUGCCAGGGAUCAGCAGUCAGAUCCUCACCAAUGCUCAGGGACAGGUUAUUGGAACCCUUCCAUGGGUAGUGAACUCAGCUAGUGUGGCGGCCCCAGCACCAGCCCAAAGCCUGCAGGUCCAGGCCGUGACCCCCCAGCUGUUGUUGAACGCCCAGGGCCAGGUGAUUGCGACCCUGGCUAGCAGCCCCCUGCCUCCACCUGUGGCUGUCCGGAAGCCAAGCACACCUGAGUCCCCUGCUAAGAGUGAGGUGCAGCCCAUCCAGCCCACACCAACCGUGCCCCAGCCUGCUGUGGUCAUUGCCAGCCCAGCUCCAGCAGCCAAGCCAUCUGCCUCUGCUCCUAUCCCAAUUACCUGCUCAGAGACCCCCACCGUCAGCCAGUUGGUGUCCAAGCCACAUACUCCAAGUCUGGAUGAGGAUGGGAUCAACUUAGAAGAGAUCCGGGAGUUUGCCAAGAACUUUAAGAUCCGGCGGCUCUCGCUGGGCCUUACACAGACCCAGGUGGGUCAGGCUCUGACUGCAACGGAAGGUCCAGCCUACAGCCAGUCAGCCAUCUGCCGGUUCGAGAAGCUAGACAUCACACCCAAGAGUGCCCAGAAGCUAAAGCCGGUGCUGGAAAAGUGGCUAAACGAAGCUGAACUGCGGAACCAGGAAGGCCAGCAGAACCUGAUGGAGUUUGUGGGAGGCGAGCCCUCCAAGAAACGCAAACGCCGCACCUCCUUCACCCCCCAGGCCAUAGAGGCUCUCAAUGCCUAUUUUGAGAAGAACCCACUGCCCACAGGCCAGGAGAUCACUGAAAUUGCUAAGGAGCUCAACUACGACCGUGAGGUAGUGCGGGUCUGGUUCUGCAAUCGGCGCCAGACGCUCAAGAACACCAGCAAGCUGAACGUCUUUCAGAUCCCUUAGGGCUCAGCCCCUGGCCCUGUGUUCUAGCACUUUGUCCAUUUCCCGUGGCAUCCAGCUGCAGCCACUGCCAUGACAGCACCUGUCAUUUUGCCACGUGCAGCUGUGCUCACCCCAGGUCAUCAGACUCCACCGUGUGCAUGUGCAUCAAUGUCCCUCUUUUCUCCCACACAUCUCACAUCAUGGGGAGGCCAGAGGGGGCCACACGAGAGCUCCAGGCUCUGGGCUGGUCACUCCGAAGAAGAGGAUUUGUGACGUCACUUAGAGAAGCACCUUGCUAGCAUGGUUUCUGAAGGGUGAAUUCUGGUGAGGAACCAGAAACUCCCUGUCUUUGGGGCAGGGCUAAAGCAGCUCCUAAGGACCACUGGCCAUUAGCUCUUGCUUUUGAUGGCAUUCUCUUUCCACCUUCUCUUCUCCUUUGCUCCUCUGUGUUAGUGUGGCAGGUAUGACAACUCAUCCAGUGGAAACACAGCCUCACACUGCCCUUCCGCCCCCCACACUUUGCUUGCAGGUGCACCGAAAGGACCCGGGAGAUAAAAUUCAAAAAAGUGUGAUGUGCUGCUCAGAAGGUCAGACUCCAUGUCUGCCUUGACCUCAAGAUCAGAAGGUUCCCAAACCCCUGGGGCUGGAACAUGGGAUCUCCUCUUCCACCUCUUCCUGGUUCCUUUGCGGGGAAAAUUGCACUAAAACAGAACCUUUUCUUAAUCCAUGUUGGAAGGAAGCAACAGUGAACUCUACCUGUUCUGGAGUUGUCCUGGGUCUGCAGAAGGUUGGGAAUUUAGAAAAUAAGGCUGUUCUUUCAUAUUUUAAUUUAAUCUCUGUCAAUGGCCAUCCCUCCCACAAAAAAACGUGGGUUAAGAGAACUUGCAGACUGGAUAUGCAAGCAAACGGGCAACUCUGGAGAAAAAUAAGGAAAGGAAUGCUGACUUUCUCUUUCUUUCUCUUGUCCCCACACCCAUUCCCAACCCAAUACUGGGGCCUUCUCAAAAGGAGCAAAUUAAACAAUAAACCAGACAGCAAUGCCCUGGGGGAAAGGACAACAUCCUGAAAUAAAUGAUGGAGCCCAGGAAGGUCUCUUGUGGAAGUUGA